CAUAACAAGUUUUUGUAAAUUCCUGUGUGUUUCUCUGAAAUCCUAACCUCCAAAUUUGAUGAAUACAUUCAACCAAAAUGCAUUACCAAGAAAAAGAGCUGGACACAUUUCCAUCAAGCUACAUGAGAGAUUUCCGUUGGUACAAGAACAGUGUCAAAUCCAAAAUAAUCUAUCCUGUUGAUACAUUUGCAUUACCAGAGGAAGAAAAAGACAAUUACAUACGCAUGAAGAAGG